UGAGAGUUAGCCAAGUGGUAAGGCAUUGGACUUUGACUCCAACAUGCGUGUGUUCGAAUCACACACUCUCAG
rnacentral:tRNA from 1 species